rnacentral:rRNA from 1 species
CCCAUCAGCUAGUUGGUAGGGUAACGGCCUACCAAGGCAAAGACGGGUAGGGGGUGUGAGAGCAUGACCCCCCACAAUGGGACUGAGACACGGCCCAUACUCCUACGGGAGGCAGCAGCAGGGAAUAUUGCACAAUGGACGGAAGUCUGAUGCAGCGACGCCGCGUGGAUGAUGAAGGCCCUCGGGUCGUAAAAUCCUUUUCAGGGGGAAGAGAAAGGACGGUACCCUUGGAAUAAGCGUCGGCUAACUACGUGCCAGCAGCCGCGGUAAGACGUAGGACGCAAGCGUUAUCCGGAUUUACUGGGCGUAAAGCGUCUGUAGGCGGAUCGAUAAGUUGGGCGUGAAAGCUCCGUGCUUAACGCGGAGAGGUCGUUCAAGACUGUCGAACUAGAGGGCAUCAGAGGAGCAUGGAAUUUCCGGUGUAGCGGUAAAAUGCGCAGAUAUCGGAAGGAACACCAGUGGCGGAGGCGGUGCUCUGGGGUGUACCUGACGCUGAGAGACGAAAGCUAGGGGAGCGAACAGGAUUAGAGACCCUGGUAGUCCUAGCCCUAAACGAUGGAUGCUAGAUGUGGGGUCGAGAAGACUCUGUGUCGCAGUUAACGCGCUAAGCAUCCCGCCUGGGGAUUACGGCCGCAAGGCUAAAACUCAAACGAAUUGACGGGGCCCCGCACAAGCAGCGGAGCGUGUGGUUUAAUUCGAUGCUACACGAAGAACCUUACCUGGGUUUGACAUGUAGGUGGUAGAGAAGCGAAAGCGGAUCGACCCUUCGGGGAGCCUACACAGGUGCUGCAUGGCUGUCGUCAGCUCGUGCCGUAAGGUGUCGGGUUAAGUCCCGUAACGAGCGCAACCCUUGCCCUUAGUUACAAGUGUCUAAGGGGACUGCCGGCGG